AAAUAGAAUACGGUUGCUCAGCAUUUUAUUCCAGGGUUUCCAUAGCGAUAGAGAAAUUUUUCACAUCAUGUUAUUUCCUAAACAGCAUCAGACUGUGCUUAGUCACAUGUCACAGGAUGCCUCAAACUGGCGUUUUGCUGUCUCAUUCUGACCUAGACUGACAUCAUGCACUGUAAGGAGAGAGAACCAAUAGCUUAAUAAAGUAGUCAUGAC